rnacentral:rRNA from 1 species
GAUGAACGCUGGCGGCGUGCCUAAUACAUGCAAGUCGAGUGAACAGACGAGGAGCUUGCUCCUCUGACGUUAGCGGCGGACGGGUGAGUAACACGUGGAUAACCUACCUAUAAGACUGGGAUAACUUCGGGAAACCGGAGCUAAUACCGGAUAAUAUAUUGAACCGCAUGGUUCAAUAGUGAAAGACGGUUUUGCUGUCACUUAUAGAUGGAUCCGCGCCGCAUUAGCUAGUUGGUAAGGUAACGGCUUACCAAGGCAACGAUGCGUAGCCGACCUGAGAGGGUGAUCGGCCACACUGGAACUGAGACACGGUCCAGACUCCUACGGGAGGCAGCAGUAGGGAAUCUUCCGCAAUGGGCGAAAGCCUGACGAAGCAACGCCGCGUGAGUGAUGAAGGUCUUCGGAUCGUAAAACUCUGUUAUUAGGGAAGAACAAAUGUGUAAGUAACUAUGCACGUCUUGACGGUACCUAAUCAGAAAGCCACGGCUAACUACGU